rnacentral:rRNA from 1 species
GACGAACGCUGGCGGCGUGCUUAACACAUGCAAGUCGAACGGAAAGGCCCUGCUUUUGUGCGGUGCUCGAGUGGCGAACGGGUGAGUAACACGUGAGUAACCUGCACCUGACUUUGGGAUAACUUCAGGAAACUGGGGCUCUUACCGGGUAGGAGAUAUUGCUGCAUGGGGGGCGUUGGUAAGAUUCGGCGGUUGGGGAUGGACUAGCGGCUUAUCAGCUUGUUGGUGGGGUAGUGGCAUACCAAGGCUUUGAGGGGUAGCCGGCCUGGGAGGCUGACCGGCGACAAUGGGACUGAGAUACGGCCCAGACGCGAACGGGAGGCAACGGUGGGGAGUCUGGCGGAGCGGGCGGGAGCCAGAUGUGACGACGCCGCGUUCGGGAUAACGGGCUUCGGGUUGUAAACCGCUUUCGCCUGUGACGAGGCGUUAGUGACGGUAACGGGUAAAGAAGCACCGGCUAACUACGUG